UGAGUGUCAGGGAUCAGAGAGUGGGAACAAGCCACUCAGAC
ncrna:unclassified sequences Ocean-VII RNA